GUGGGCGUGCCGGAGCGGUCAACGUGUUAUCAGCAAAGGCGGAUAAUAUGACCAUACGGGAUAGGCUUAGGACCUAUUAGCUUAGUGCUUACUCAGGUUCAAAUCCUGACGCCCACACCA
rnacentral:tRNA from 1 species